AUGGGCGGCGGGCAGCAGUGCGGACCCACCAUGAAUGAAAUUUCCUGCAAAAAACGAGAUGACUAUUUAGAAUGGCCUGAGUAUUUCAUGGCAGUGGCUUUUCUGUCAGCACAGAGAAGCAAAGAUCCAAAUUCCCAAGUCGGAGCCUGCAUUGUGAACACAGAAAACAAGAUUGUUGGGAUCGGUUACAAUGGGAUGCCAAAUGGGUGCAGUGAUGAUUUGCUGCCUUGGAGGAGAACAGCAGAGAAUAAGCUGGAAACCAAGUACCCUUACGUGUGCCAUGCCGAGCUGAAUGCCAUUAUGAACAAAAACUCGGCCGAUGUGAAAGGCUGCACCAUGUAUGUCGCCUUGUUCCCAUGUAAUGAAUGUGCUAAGCUCAUCAUCCAGGCAGGUAUCAAGGAAGUUAUUUUCAUGUCUGAUAAAUACCAUGAUAGCGAUGAGGCAACAGCUGCGAGGCUCAUGUUUGAUAUGGCUGGGGUGACUUUCAGGAAAUUCACGCCAAAGUGCAGCAAGAUUGUCAUUGACUUUGAUUCAAUUAACAGCAAGACCGAGUCAGAAGCUUCAGUGA